CGUAGUCUCUGCGCAUGCGCUGAACCGAUCGUGUUUCCUCCUCCUCCAUCUUUUACUAUCUGUGAACACGGAGACACCACUUCUUGAGCACCGAAGCUGAUUAAAGUUCACCUUCCGUCAGGACUGAAGUUUACAUACCAGUGCUGUGUGCCAGAAGGUUCCUCAGCUUCUGAAGUUGGAUGGAAAUGACCUCCCCCCACCCAUUGGCUUUGAUGUGGACACACCCACCACUCUCCCACCUUGUAAGGUUAGUCAGUGUGAUGCUGAAUUGUCUGUUGUGUUCAAAACGUCACUUGUCAAAGUACAAGAAUAUAGAAGCCACUAUAUUUUUAGAUUCAAGCCUUUUCUUUUCUGUAAUGAACGUCUCAUUUCUCCUGCUAAAUGUUGACCAUGUGAUCACACAGAGAAGCUGCUUUGGCUCUGAUGACGCUAAACGUCUACAUUCAGCGCUUUUUGCAACACGAUGCGUUUCCAUCUGCUGAAGCACACACGACUGAAUGUGGUGAACGUUCCUCAACGAGCUGCCAUAAACCCAGCAUGACAUCAUCUCUUUCACCGUGGACAAUACGCUGCUGUCAUUCACAGUGGGCGGAGUCUUCAAAGAAGUUGUUGUAGAUGAUAAAUCUAAAGAAUCUACAAGGUUUUCAUCACAGUUCCAGCAGUGGAUUCUGGGUAGGUUACACACGUAAAACCAAAGUGCUCAUUAUCAGCUGUAGCUUCAGAUAAUGCUUGCCUCCACUAGUAUGACUGGAAUGAACAAACAGUAAAUACUGUUUCACCACAUGUGUUUUCUGUGUAUUCCUAUAUUUACCUAAUGUAUAUUUAUUUGUCCAUAAAAUAAAAUGAUAAACGCUUUUACA
rnacentral:lncRNA from 1 species